AACGCACGAGACCUGCGGACCUGCGGAGGGAUCAUCAUAGGAAAUAUGAAUUUACUCACCGAGUUGUGGGGGGCGCUGGCGAGGCCUUGGGUGGCAGCAGGAUAUCAUACUCUGCAGUUCAUUCGCUUCACGCACUUUUGUUCCCGCGUGGGGAGGGGGGGCGGGGCCUUGCUGCCUGCGCUCUUUGCAGCUUUUACCCAAACGAUCACAACAAUUAGAGGGGAGAGUUAUUUGACUUGC
rnacentral:misc_RNA from 1 species